UUGACGGGGGCCCGCACAAGCGGUGGAGCAUGUGGUUUUAAUUCGAUGAUACGCGAGGAACCUUACCUGGGCUCAAAUGUAUGUUUGACGUAUUCUGAAAGGGAUACUUCUUCGGACAAUAUACAAGGUGCUGCAUGGUUGUCGUCAGCUCGUGCCGUGAGGUGUCGGGUUAAGUCCCAUAACGAGCGCAACCCCUACCUUUAGUUGCCAUCAGGUUAAGCUGGGGACUCUAAAGGAACUGCCUACGCAAGUAGUGAGGAAGGCGGGGAUGACGUCAAAUCAGCACGGCCCUUACGUCCAGGGCUACACACGUGCUACAAUGGCCGGUACAAAGGGCAGCUACCUGGUGACAGGAUGCUAAUCUCAAAAGCCGGUCUCAGUUCGGAUCGGAGUCUGCAACCCGACUCCGUGAAGCUGGAAUCACUAGUAAUCGUGAAUCAGAAUGUCACGGUGAAUACGUUCCCGGGCCUU
rnacentral:rRNA from 1 species